CUUCUGGCGAAAAGAACACAGACGCUUUGUCACAGCCAGGCCAGUUCAUGAAUGGUGUAAUUUAUUAAAGAUCAGACGCGCAUUUCGUGACAGCGUGAAUUGCGAAAGCCAUUGCGUGUCCUUUCUACUUGUGGCUUAUUACCUGCACCAGACACUAACAGAAAGGGUUCAAGCUGCAACGUUUUCUUAACGUGUUUAUUGCUAGCCUAGCUUGCAUUGUUCAACGUUAGUGAAAUCUAUUUCGUCGGGGUACAGCUGGUAAAAUCAUGAAGUUGGAAUUCUUGUUAUUACUGGUUUUUGUUAGUUCUAUUCAUGCACAAGGAACAG